CUGGGUUUUUUUGCCUGAAGUUAUAAGUGAUUUGUUGGAUCAUCUCAGUUAAUUCAGCUGUGGCCUUUGAUGAAAAUAGUGAAUGAGGAAUUGAACUUUCUGUGCGAGAUGGAAGCAGAGCAAUUUUUGUUUUUUUUUAUUAAAAUAGGAUCCUGGGAAAAUGAGUAUAAUGGUGACGAUUGGUCAUGGAUCCAUUUUAAAAUUCACUUUAAACAGGAAUCGAGGGAUCCAGUGUUGGAGCACAGCUGGAGAAUCUCUGGGGAAGAGCUGUAAGAAGUUCUGGACUUCUGUGAAUACAUGAGAAUUGUAAACCUACUGGCUUUUCACAGCAUUAAAACAAGCUUGUACCUAUGUGGAAGCAAACUAGUAAUUUGUGAUAGAUUUGAUUAUAGUCAGUAUGCAUGCAGAGUAAUCUGCAAAGUGAUUAAAUAAUGCAUGAAAUGUGUUAAUAUAAACCAUUCUAAUUUGGCCGCUCCUUUUCUCCACAAGAAUGAUUUAAACCUUAUCAAAUGAACAUAGAAAAAAUGUGUCCUAUUGCAUUUUGUAUUUUAAUGUUUUCUGUAUUGACUUUUCAAAUGUUUGUGAUCUCUAUUAAAUUAAGGAGUCUUGAGUCCAAAUAUGUUUAAGUACAAUUUGUUUCUGCAAUAGCUUACAGGUACAGAAAAUGCUUUCUCCCAUAACUCUAAUCAAUUAAUGAAAAGCACAUUAAUGUUUUUGAUCAGAUCAAAUGUAUUUUUAACAAGUUUAACAGUUCUCGGGAACCACCUGUUCAAAUUGAAAUGUCAUCAAAUAAACGUUUGAAUACUUCAGGGAAUUUUCUUCUUGCCUAUCAUAAACAAGAUUUUUUGAAGUAUACUGCAUCAGAAUCAAAAUGGCAAAGUUUAUAACAAAGAGUAUUUAUGCAGCCUGACUUUAAGUUCAUUAGCUUAAUCAAUAACUCUUUUUACUAAUGGAGUAAAAUCCAAAACAUUAACCACACUAUCAGCUUGUGAUACUGUUAUAAAUGCAUUUAAUAUUUUCACCUGAUGUAAUUCAUCUGCCUCACAGUACUUCAA